GCAGUUAAAAAGCUCGUAGUUGGAUUUCGGAGUGGGCCAGUUGGUCCGCCGCAAGGUGUGUUACUGACUGGUUUGCUCUUCUUCGCAAAGACUGCGUGUGCUCUUGAGUGAGUGUGCGUAGGAUUUACGACGUUUACUUUGAAAAAAUUAGAGUGUUCAAAGCAGGCUAUUGCUUGAAUACAUGAGCAUGGAAUAAUGGAAUAGGACUUUGGUCCCAUUUUGUUGGUUUCUAGGGCCGAAGUAAUGAUUAAGAGGGACAAUUGGGGGCAUCCGUAUUUCGUUGUCAGAGGUGAAAUUCUUGGAUUUACGAAAGACGAACAACUGCGAAAGCACUUGCCAAGAGUGUUUUCAUUAAUCAAGAACGAAAGUUAGAGGAUCGAAGACGAUCGAUACCGUUCUAGUUCUAACCAUAAACGAUAUCGACUAGGGAUCGCGGGC
rnacentral:rRNA from 1 species